GUGCCAUCAGUCCCUGCCUCUGUUCCAGCUGUCUUACAGCCGUGUCUGUGACUUGUUGAGGUCUCCAGUGAUCCAGGUUUCCAGUCUGAGAAUACUUGUUGUAUGUACUCAUUUUACUGGACUGUUGUGGAAUAUGGGAUGCAUCUGCUCUAGUCACAUUACCUACCUCUGCCUCUGUUAGCAGUCUUUGACCCAAAUACUCCUGCCUGUGCUACUGCUGAGCUUUGCAUUCCAGAGGAUGGUCACCUGUUGUUCUGCACGGCAAUGGGAGGUGCUCAGCUCACAGUGCAAGGGAAAGGUACUUUCGC